CCUCUGUCAGGAUUUCAUCAUGUUCCUCAGCUCAUCUCUGGAUUUAUCAAUCAUGAAAUGCACUAUGGGCACAGCCUGCUGUUAUCUGAAAAAUAUUUCUGAUUUCAUUUUUUCCAGAUCUUUUUUUAAUGCUAGUUCAGUGAGUCCAGGUGGUUGAUUAUCAGAGUGUUCCAUCUUGUUUCCAAUUGGGGUUGCUGUAGGUGAUCUGGAAGUGUGAUUUUGAGUCUUGUUUAUGUGUCUUCUCAUUUUGAUGGGGGCAGUGCAGCUGGUGCCCUUGUGGCUCACUUCACUUGUGCUGGGAGUGGUUGUAUGUUGGCCAAGAAGCCUACCCUUCUGCUCUAGGACUGAUGGCACAUCAACCCAGAAGCAUCCUUCUCUGUGCUGGGAGACAUGGCACAUUGACCCGAAAGCCUCCUCCUCUGCACUGGGAGCAGUGGCACAUUGACCCAGAAGCCUCCUCCUCUGUGCUAUGAGUGGUAGGACACUGGCCUGGAAGGCUCCUCUUCUGCUCUUGGAGUGGUCUUGCUGAUAUUUUAAAACAAUCCUGUUGCUUUGUUUCUCUCUAUUGAUUUCGUGGUAUUAUUUUCUUUCUUUUGCUUGUUUCACCUUGAUAAUCCUUUUCAGUUAUUUUUCAGUUGAAUACAUAAUUGAUAUGAGAUAUUUCUUAGAGUCAGUAACAGCUAUAAUUUUUCUAUAAGAACUGUCACUGAUGCAAACUGUGGAUCAUUUAAAAUUAUAUAUUGACAGAUUAUGCUUAGAUGUAUUUGUGAGGAACUAAGCAGUUUUAUGAUAUAAUACAAUGCCCACAACAAGAAAAUCAAGAUAGUCUUCACAGAUAAUACUACUCAUUUUUCUGGUGAGAAUAUUUUAAAAUUACUGGUAUUGAUUUUAAAAUAUUAAGUUCACUGUGAAUAUCUAUAGUCAUGAGACUGUGAAACAUUUCAAAAACAUUGCUCUUGCUUUCUCACCGAAAUCUGUACCCUUUUACCUUCUCUCCUUUCUCCCCACUCCUCAGCUACUGUCUUCUUCAGUGACAACAAUCAUAUUGUUAUUUCAAAUACAAGUGAAAAGAAAUGAUGCAGAGUACAUAUACCACAAUUUCUUCAUACAUUCAUUCCUGGAUGAACAUUUGGACUGAUUUCAAAUCUUGGCUAUUGUGAAUAAUAUUGGGGUGAACACAGAAGAAAUUUCAUCAUAUGAAUAUCCUUGUGCAGCUUCCUUUGGGACGUUGUUUCACUAUGAAGAUUUAAAGUGUAAAAAGUAACCUUCAUACUGCCAACUGAUCCAAGAAAUCUUCAUCAUUUUAACAGGGAAGACUGAGUUCUUGGUUUUAAAUGUUGCAAUAUUCAUUCUAAGGUUAACUUUAACACACUUUAUACAUCAUUUGAUGCAAUUUUAGUAAGUCUGAAGAUGACACAUAAAAUUUAUUUUAAGAAAUUGCUCUUUCACUGCCUUCUACAACUUUGUAAUAUUCUCUUAGACUCUCUGUUAGUCUUCCUCUGUGCCACUGUGGAACAGUGCAUCAUUCUAGGUUAGGGCAGAAAUUACUCUUUUUGCCACUCAAUCAAAACACAUUGUCCUAUGUAAUAUAUUCCUUGGCAAAAAGCAUGUCUUUCCUCAGAGAGAGUUAUUUCUCUUACUAUUUUUACUUUUAUUUUUCUCAUAUUAACAGAAAACUUUAACCAGGCAUUAUAAAUUGCUUUGUAUCAGCAAUUUCUACAUGAGAAACCCUUGAAAAAUUCUAGAACAAUAUAUUUUAUAUUGUGUAUUAUACCAAAUUUAUCAUAGAGCCUCUUAAUUUAAUGUUUUUUGUUCUGUCUUCUGACUGGAUACAUUUAAAUGAUAUUUUGGUCCUCUGAUUUAUUUUAUAGUUGAUCAUAAAUAAUGACUUUUGUGUGGUAAGUUUUAUAACUCUUUCCUGUUCAACUGGAUGUUGUGCUUUUAGUGAUGCAUUGGUUUCUAAUCUCUGUGGAGAAAAUGAAGCUCUUAAAUAGGUCUUGAUAGUGAAUAAUAAAUGAAACUGGUCAGUACAAAGCAUGUGCCUGGUACCAAACAUAAGAAAUCAAAUAUAGUAAUGAAUUUAUCAAUAGGAUUCCUAAGCAAGGAAGAUGAAUAUUAAUGUAGUGGGUGCAAAAGAUACUCAAUGAAAAUAAAAUUUACAACUAAAUUUUCAUAGCCUGUUUCAUGUCAAUUUUGCAUAUGUCCACUUAAUGUUCAAUUUGAAAGUUUACUGUUAAUCUAAAGUUGUUAUUUAAUUUUUGAUGCUGUUUUAUAUUCAUAUUUUGAUUGCUCUGCCAAACAUAUUAAUUUUAAAUAUUAAGUCACCUAAAUCUUAUGUGACAAAAAAAGGGAACAAAAUAUUUUUAUAAAUGUAAUGUUGGAAUUAUAUAUUUUAAUGAUUAACUUAUAUGAAAUAAACAGUCAAAUGACAAUGGUUACAUACCAUGAGUGAUUCAGUAAAAUUCCACACAAGGUCAAUUUCUACUGAGAAAAGUAUGAAGAACUGCUAAAGCAUAUAUUUUGAAGGCAGAACUGAAUGACUUACUAGUAUGACAUAAAAGGGAAAAAACAUUUUGUAGAUUUUUGGUUUUUGCUUUGAAAGUGAAGAAAAACUGGGAAGGAAGUUUGUGUUGUUGAAUCUAGAAUUUGGUUUUCAGAAGGUAAUGAUGAAUCAUUUUAUUAAUUCAUUGAAACUAAAAUGUCAUACAAAUGGAAUUCAUAAAACAUGACAAGAUUUUGAUACAUAAAUUAUACAUACAUUUUUAUUGCAAGGAAGAGAAAUUUGAAAAUAUCCUGAUUAUUAGAUGUAGCCAUAGAAAUUUUAUAGCAUAUCAGAAAUAUAAUAUUAUUACAAUUAUAAAUAGACAUUGUAUUUCUUUUCAUGGUACAUCUGCUGAAGUAUUUAGGAAUAAAUUGUUGUUUCUGUAAACUACUGUCAAAUGCUUCAAAAUAGAGAAAGGAUGAAUAAUGUAUGAUAAAUGAAACCAUAUUGAAUGAAAGCAUUAAAUGAAACCAUUAUAGACUAUUUAUAAACCUGCAUUCCACAUUAUCAUACUAUUCAGUGAAUAUCUCUGUACUAUUAUUUUCAUGAAUUAUUAAAACAAAUAUUUAAGUGAG